UCCAGGACCGAGUUUGGGCACCCCUGACAUAUACGCGCACAUAUAUCAUUCAAUUGCAAAAUCACUAAAUAUCCUGUGUUGCAUAAAUAGAAUAUCUAUUUGCAUUAGGAUCCUUGGUGUUUGUGAGUGUAUGUGACGUCUGGUUGGAGCUGUUUGACACUCAGCAGUUUUAUGCUCUUACUCUGGCUGCAAUUGCCAUUGUUGCAUUUGGAUGCACAGUGCAGCAGUCCAGUUUCUAUGGUUACACUGGGAUGCUGCCCAAGAGGUACACACAGGGGGUGAUGACUGGAGAGAGGAACACCAUGACUGUAUCAUAUAUGGCGGGACUGAUGCUCGGCUCUGCGGUGUCUUACUCAACAUACAGCCUGAGCUCACAGGCACAUUCUACUCACAUGCUGAAACUCAACAACACACUCACAUUACAGAGCUAUGUGCCCGGCCACUGAGCGUCUCUCUCUCUCUCUCACAGGUACACUGUUUUGUAUAGUUGUUAAUGUAAGAGUAAAGAACAUUUGUAGAGUCUAUCCCUGCUGAAAACACCAGCUAGACCAGUUUUGCAUACUGGUCCGGUCUGGUUUGUGCAAGGAAAGUCUGCUGUUUAAUCCCAGUUUGGGGCACCAGCAUAUUAGAAUUUCAUUGUGAGGAUCAGCAUCCAAAACACAACACAUGCUGGUGAGCAGAUACAUAUGCUGAUUUCUUCAUCAGGGAUGUUGGCUCAUAAAAUGAGAUUCUCAUUAGAGUAUUAACCAAGACCUUGUUAAAUAAAAUCGAUGUAUGACUGUUCCUGUCUUGUUUAAAUGUACGGCCACACAGGAAGGUGUCGUAUGACUGACAUGUUAAAUUGACAACUGUUUCCAUUUUGACAUGAUGCUGGUAAAUCUUAAAGUGGAAGGAUUUAGUUCACACAGAACAGAUAAAUGAGAGAUGUGAGCGCAAUGGUUUAAACACAUCAGUCUAGGGAGUUUACAUAGAAAAAACACGUUCUGUGUAAAUGGCCCCUAAGAGUCUAAGAUUUGAUGCCAUGGAUCUUACAAACUUUGCCAAAUACAGCAACUAUUGUAGCAGCCUGGGAAGCUGCAGUGCUUGUGUUGGGGAUGAGUAGUGGAGCCCCCAGCAAAAAGGAGCUAGAUAAAUAUUGGAGCUUGUCAUGUUAAGAACUCCUAAUGCUUGUUUUGUUGAAGUUUAGCAGAUUGUUUAGUAAUUGCAAUAUGUCCAUGACCAGUUCAGGAUCAAGAUCUCAAAUCCAUUUAAAAUUCAGUACUUCAUAAUGAAAUUAAAUAUGUCCAUGACCAGUUCAGGAUCAAGAUCUCAAUCCAUUUAAAUUCAGUACUUCAUAAUGAAAUAUUCAGUGAUUUCUUCAUACAGAAGCUCGAACUUCUGUAUGAUUGUUUGAUACUAUUACUGUACCAAAUCACAAAAUCUGUGUAUGAUCAGUUUUUUUUUUUUUUUGUUGUUUCUUUUAGCAAUCAGGUGCAAAUGCAUUUAGGUUUUACAAAAAACAAAAGUUUGAAAAAUGAUUCUUUAAUAAUUCUUAAGAUAAA
rnacentral:lncRNA from 1 species